UACGAAGGGGGCUAGCGUCGCUCGGAAUUACUGGGCGUAAAGGGCGCGUAGGCGGACAGUUAAGUCAGAGGUGAAAGCCCAGGGCUCAACCCUGGAAUAGCCUUUGAUACUGGCUGUCUUGAGUGCGGGAGAGGUGUGUGGAACUCCGAGUGUAGAGGUGAAAUUCGUAGAUAUUCGGAAGAACACCAGUGGCGAAGGCGACACACUGGCCCGUAACUGACGCUGAGGCGCGAAAGCGUGGGGAGCAAACAGG
rnacentral:rRNA from 1 species